CAGCCCGCGGGAGUGGAGGGAGCGCGGAGACGUUCCUCCCGGUGGGGCGCGCGUGGGCGCGAGAGGGCGCUCGGGGACCCAAGGCUGCGCGCACUGCCCUGGCGGCGCCGGUUGGCUUCGGAGGCGGUGUCGCUUGGCGCAGAAGGGCACUUUGCACUCCUUACCCGUCCUCUCCUCUCUAGUUCGGCCCCUACUCCUAACCGGGUUUCCGCUUAGGCGACCCGCUGCCUCUGGAGGGGUAGGCAUUGCCCGCCUCUCUGUUCAGGCUCAGCACAGACCAAGCUGCGGCACCCAACUUGGAAGACGUGGAAGAACUGGAAAACCAGGCGGGGCAGUACUUGUAAAGGAACCUAUCCAUUAGCUCCUGUGUAAAAAAAGGUUUUGCAAUGCCUUAUUGAAUCCUGGGAAAAGUGGGAGCUAGAAGCUUCUACUCCUCAGGUUUGUUAUCAAAGGAUUCAUGGAAACAAAAAGUGGAUUAGUGGUUCCCAGGAGGCUGAGAAGUGGAGAAUGAUAACAGACUGCUAAAGGGCAAUUACUACCACCUGAAAGUGCUUCCUGGCCAGACCCCUGCAAACAAAAGCCACUGAUUUCCAGGAGGCAGUCACCUCCCUGCUUUCCCCAAACUCCCUACCCUUCACCUCUUGUGAGUGCUGCCAUCACCUAAAAACCUACAUCACUUAAGAGAUUCCUGGAUUGGAACCCUGUGCACUUCGAACCUGGCAGCUGUUACUACUCAGUAUACCAGAGAAUCGGGUUGCUUCUUCCAACUGAGGAAUCCCAGGAAGAGCCCGCAGCCAGACCCCAAAUGGCUUCUCAGGACCCAUGUUUCAUGACAGAUGCUGCCACAGGACUUUUAGUGCUUGGUUCUUUGCGAACAGGUUUCUGUGACUGAGGAACGGGCUCUGUGGGCUCGUGUAGUGGGAAUCCUGUAUUGUGUUCAACUAUACUCUGAAGAAAAUGUGUUAUUGCUAUGGAAAAUUUUGUUCCUGUGCUUCACAAAUCUUGCCAAGUCUCUUAAUAUGAAUAUUUCUUCAGAGAUGAAAGCCAGAAGAACUCUUUGGUUAUCCAGAUACAAAAUACAGAGACUGUUUAUUUGGGAGCAGCCUGUCUUUCUUCAUAAAUACUUUUUGUAGAGUGAUGGCCUAUAAACAAUGGAGAUGGAAAACCAUCUACACAGACUACAGCUUCAUGAAAGAAGAAAAUAAACAAAAAACAAAAAGCACAGCACGCAGUAUCUGUAGGAGAAAGAGAAGCCCAAACCACAGUUGGGUUUUAUACUCACCAGAAUGGCUUGAGUGCAGAUGAAGUUGGGGAACAAUGUGAUUUUCACACAUGGUAUUGGUUUGUUUUUAAAACCCAUGCCCACUUUUUUAAAAGUGUAAUUUAGCUUUGGUUUCUUUCGUUCUUUAGAAGACAUCUCUGGAGGCAAUUGAUGAUUUAAAAAUCAGUAGUGGAAGUCUCAAAGUGACCCCGUGUUCCUAGUCCCAAUUCAUAUAGUGGAACAGUUAGUUACUAAAAAAUUGCCCUUAGGUUUGCUCCCACCCAGAAGGCAUUUCUGGUUGGUGUUGGAAAGAAACUUCCCUGGACUCCCAGAGGGGCUCUCCCACAGAUGCCCUCCUUACCCAAAUCACUUGCAUUUCCCACCUGUAGACACACACUCUCUUAGUCCUCCCCCCCACCCCACCUCCUCUCCCAGGAGUGAUCUGGAUUAGACAACAAACAGCACUUCCCAGAUGGGCACACAUGCAGCAGCUGUCAAAAGGAGAAGUCAGUUUACUUUCUUUUAAACUUGCAAUGUUUGCCUUUAUUUUGUUCUUUAUAUUUUGAAAGUGAAAAGAAAUAGUAUU